rnacentral:snRNA from 1 species
GGAUGUGAGGGCGGUCUGGCUGCGGUAUCUGUUACCCCAUUGAUCGCCAGGGUUGAUUCGGCUGAUCUGGCUGGCUAGGCGGGUGUCCCCUUCCUCCCUCACCACUCCAUGUGCGUCCCUCCCGAAGCUGAGCGCUUGAUCGAAGGGGAUGACUUUCCCCGAAUAGAGGAGGACCAGUCUUCGGUCAAGGGUAUACGAGUAGCUGCGCUCCCCUGCUAGAACCUCCAAACAAGCUCUCAAAGCAAUGGAGGAAGCCUGGUUGCUGUCUAUGAUGGUGAAGCAAAUGAGAGGACAGUCACUAUUCUCUUGUCUU